CCUACGGGUGGCUGCAGUGGGGAAUAUUGCACAAUGGGCGCAAGCCUGAUGCAGCAACGCAGCGUGAGCGAAGAAGGUCUUCGGAUCGUAAAGCUCUGUCCUUGAGGAAGAAGGAAGUGACGGUUCUCACGGAGGAAGCCUCGGCUAACUACGUGCCAGCAGCCGCGGUACUACGUAGGGGGCAAGCGUUAUCCGGAAUUCUUGGGCGUAAAGAGUACGUAGGUGGUUUUGUAAGCGCGUGGUAAAAGGCAGUGGCUUAACCAUUGUAAGCCGUGCGAACUGCAAGACUUGAGUGCAGGAGAGGAAAGCGGAAUUCCUAGUGUAGCGGUGAAAUGCUUAGAUAUUAGGAGGAACACCAGUGGCGAAGGCGGCUGUCUGGAGUGUAACUGACACUGAGGUACGAAAGCGUGGGGAGCAAACAGGAUUAGAUACCCCAGUAGUC
rnacentral:rRNA from 1 species